AGCCCUAAGAUAUUUGGAUAUAAGGAAUCUUCCAAAUCUGGAGUCAAUUGCAGAAGAUGGGGGUUUGCCUCCUAACCUCCGAGUUUUUUACGUUCAUAAUUGUGAGAGACUGAGGGCUUCAUCUUCAUCAGUAGAAGAGUAUUGUAACUGGGGUUUGCAAGCAGUUGAAGAAUUUAGAAUUGGUGGUAGGGGAAGUGAUGAAAUCUUGGAGACGUUGCUCAAGCAACAGCUGCUCCCUACCACUCUUCACACUCUCAGGAUCUCUUCAUUAUCAACUCUGAAAUCUUUGGAUGGAAAGGGACUUGCACACCUUACUUUUCUUCGACGUCUAUCUAUUUUUAGUUGUAAAAGUCUGAAAUUCUUGCCAGGAGAGGCACUUCAACACCUCACUUCUCUUCAAAAGCUAAAGAUCAGUUGGUGUGACAAUCUCCAAUUCCUGCCAGAAGAGGGUCUGCCGCCAUCUCUUUCUUAUCUGAAGAUCUUUAGAUGUUCUGCCCUGGAGAAAAGGUAUCAGAAUAAGACGGGACAAGAUCAUUGGGCCAGCAUAUCUCACAUUCCUUGCAUCGAGAUAAAUGAUGAAGUCAUCAUAUGAUGAUAUGACCUCUCUCUUUCUCACAUAGAGACAAACAAACUCUGGUCAGGUAUGUACUUCAAAUAACCGCUUUAACUGCUUUUCUUCUAAUUCAAUACAAAAACUGAAAUUCACUAUCCAAAUAAACCGAAAUACACAUUUUUAACUAUUUUUAUGUCCACAAAUUUGUUGAAUUGCCCCAAAUUUGCCAUCAAUUUUGCAUCCAAUUAACUUUGCAUUAACUCUUGGAAGUCAAAGCAACUUGUGUAAGCAACUUGCAAAUAAACUUCUUCAUUUGCAGGUUUCUUUCAAGUCACUGCCCGAGGAGAGUUUAGCAUUGUAUAUGGAUUUUUGUUUUUCUGCAAACAAAUUGCCACAAAGAAGGGGAGGAAAUGUUCAUAUUUUGGUUGGAAAUUAGUUUAUUCAUAUUCUUAGAUGAAUCUAACGAUCCAAUUCUUAAUGUCUUGAGCUUAGGAGUAUCUAGUUGAGCUGAGAUACAUAGCAUCAAUUUUGCAUCCAAAAUACAUAUAUAGCAUCGAAUGCUUCUUCCCAGAUCAUGCUCGCUCUUGUCAAUAAUUGAAUAUUCAGUUACUUUUGAGCUCAAUUUUGUUUUUGUGUUUUUUGUUCUCCAUUAAUAUUUCAUCUCAGUUUUGUGAAUUACAAUGUCACUGCUGCUUACUGGUCUCAUGCUAUUUUCUGAUCAGAAUCAUUUUCCAGAAAAACACACAAAAACUCAAUCCAAUUUCUAUUAUUAUUUUGUUCAGUAAAUUCUCUCCUUCUAUUGACUCAAUUUCUUCGCAACUUAUAUCCUAUAGUAAGUCUCAAAUGCUGAAUAAUUAAUACUCUUUUUGCAGGACAGCACCUUUUCUUGGAAAGCUUUUCAUUUGCAAGGUUCAUGGACUUUUGUUUUUCUACAAAAACAAUUCUCAAAACAAGGGGAGACGGAAAGGUUCACCUGGAAUAUCUGGAUUGACACAUUCCUACAGCUAGGCAUCAAAUGUCCCACAUCUUUAGGUACUCUUUCAUAAUAAAAAUGUAUUCAAUGUCUAUGGAUAACCUGUGAGCUUAAGUUGUUAGAUAAAACUGGCAGUAUAUUAUUGCUGUCAUCUUGUUGAAGAUGUGAGCAUGAUAUUUAUCAUUCAUAUUGUUCCAGUGCCCGAGGGGCACAUUCAUUGGGAAUUUUAAUAGGUUCAUGCCAUUAAUUUAUCUUUGGGAUUCCCCAGGUACUGCAUGUAUGUUAUAAACGUUGUCACUUUACUAAUGCAUAUUUUCUUAGUAUAACCGGUUGAGCAGAAAGAUCAUUCAGCAAUUACAAAAUUUUCUUAGGGAAUUAACCUUGUUUAAGCUUUGUUUAUCAUCUCUCUCCUUUUCUCCGUUAAGUCUUGGUUGUUCUAAGUUAUGCCUUGUCCUUAUCACACAUAUUGGAAAAGAAUCUUGCCUUAAAUUGCAACUAGUCUCUUUCAUAUCUAUUUUCUUGUACAUACUUGUUGGUUGGAAAUUAGUUUUCAGACAGUUGGGGUUAACUAGAGAAAUUAGUUUUGUUCGUAUUCUAAGAUGAAUCUAACGAUCCAAUUCUUAACGUCUUGUACUUAGGAGUAUCUUGUUGAGCUGAGAUAUGCAUGAAAAUGGAAAGCAAUCGAGUUAAAAUCUGUUAAUGUUUUGAGUGUUUUGAAUGAAGUCACAGAAGGAGAAAGCAGAGAGAAUGUUCAUUUCAUUCAGUCUCUCUCCGUCUCUUACAACCUCACGCACUUAGAGUGAGGGAAUAUUACCGUUAGGCACAGUAGCUGGAUCCCUUACAUCACAAGGUGAUCUCAACCAUUCAUCUGGGCAUCCAAUGAGAUCCUUACACUUGGCUUAUAAAACUUAAAGAAACGAAAAACUAAAUUAACUAACUCUUAAGUCAGCUUAAGGCUUAUAAUUCAACACUCCCCUUUAAGUCUUGAGCUGAUUUAACUCCAAGCAUACUUUGAGAUAGUUGAACCAAUCCUUAGCCAAUGGUUUGGUGAAAAUGUCAGCAAAUUGUUCCUUAGUAGGGCAGUACACCAAAUCAUGAUGCCUUCUUGUAGUGCAUAUUUGAUGAAGUGAUAUCUUUGAUCAAUAUGCUUUGUCUUCUAAUGAAACACAGGGUUUUUAGUAAUGGCAAUUUCAAAUGUGUUGUCACAUUGCAAUGGAGUUGCUUCAGUUUGAAGCUCUCCAAAUUCUUCUAGCACAAAUCUAAGCCAAAUAGCCUGUGCAGUAGCCUCAGAUGCACUUAUAUACUCUACUUCUGUAGUGGACAAUGCCACACAAUUCUGCUUGAUUGAAGCCUAAGAGAAAACACCACUUCCAAAAGAGAAUGCAUAUCCAGAUGUGCUUUUACUAUCAUUAACUGAUCCACCCCAGUCACUGUCACAGAAGCCAAUCAACAUUGCAUCCUUGCCUUUCACAUACUCUAAACCAUAGUCUAGAGUCCCCUUGAUGUACUUGAGCAUUCGUUUAGCAGUUCCAUAAUGUUUGCUUGUGAGACAAUGCAUGAAUCUAGCAAGCAAACUAGAAGCAAUGUCUGGUCUGGUGGUAGUUAGAUACAAGAGACUACCUACAAUGCUUCUGUAUUGCUCUUCACUUGUCGCUUCACUUCCAUCAUCUUUAACUAGUUUUUCAGUUGCUAUAAGAGGUGUAGUUACAGUCUUGACUCAUUUAGCCCAAAUUUUUUCAAUAGAGAACUUGCAUAUUUCUUCUAAUGAAUGAAUGUUCUAGCAUUUGUUUGAACCACUCCCAUACCAAGAAAAUAAUGUAGAAGGCCCAAGUCUGUCAUCUCAUAUUUCAUCUCCAUGUCCUCUUUGAAUUCUUCCAACAAUUCCUUGCUACUCCCUGUAUACACAAUUUCAUCAACAUAAGUAUAGACAAUUAGAAUAUCUCUCUCCCAUUGUCUUUGUAUACAAGGUAGAUUCACUUAGACUUUUCUUAAAGCCACACUGCAUGAAGUAGGUGUCUAUCUCUCCAUACCAAGCUCUAGGUGCCUGUUUUAACCCAUAGAGAGCUUUGUGCAGUCUAUACACUUUGUCUUCCUUGCCUUUCACCACAAAUCCCUCUGGUUGGUCUAUAUAGACUUCUUCUUGCAGCACACCAUUUAGAAAGGCUGAUUUUACAUCAAGCUAACAUAGCUUCCAUUAUUUCUUAACAACAAGGGCAAUGAGAGUUCUAAUGAUAUCCAAUCUAGCCACAGAAGCAUAGGUUUCAUUGUAGUCCAAUCUAGGUUUUUGAGCAUACCCUUUGGCAACUAACCUUGCCUUAUUCAUUUGGACAUAACCAUCCAUGUUUAGCUUGGUUUUGCAAACCCACUUGACUCCAACAACUGGUUUCUCAGUUGGUCUGUUCACUAGUUCCCAUGUAUUCAUCUUCCAUAGCUUUCAGCCAUGAACUGUCUUGAGCUGCCUUUGCAUAUUUCUUUGGUUCAAUGAUACAUAGAUUGCAUUGUGCAAGCACAUCAUCUAGUCUUCUCCAUUUCAAUGGGGAGUGAUCAUAAGCUUGAGUGUUCCUUUCUUCACUGCUUAUGUCACUUGGGAUGUGUUGUGAUGGUGCUUGAGAAGAUAGUGGACUUCUUUCAUGUCAAAUUUGAGUUUGAGGUGUUAGUCCAUGUGCACUGAGUGAUACUAGCCUUCAUGACCAAUUGGUUUUCAGCUAGAAGGGGUAAAGGAUAGAAUCUGUUUCUCUUCAUUGGAACCUUGAUGAUGAGACAGUUCAUUGAAGAGUCAUCAAACACUUUACACAUGCCUUCUCCAAACACCAAGAAGUAUCCAUGCUCAUCCAUUUGCCCAACACUCAGCAGAUUUUCCAUCAAUCCUAGAAGAUACAUCACUUCUCUAAUGUAUUUUCUCCCUCUGGUCGUAUCAAUAACCAGUGAUCUAGCCCAUGCCAGCCACAUUCACCAGCACACCAAUUGGCAUUUGCACCUUUCCAGCCACAUUUGUUGUAAUUCCCAGUCAUGUGAUCGCUACAGCCAUUAUCAACGUACCAUUCUCCAUUUUUUUUUGUCUCAAUGGUUGCACAUGACAGGACCCGCCCCGGAAUUUUUCGGAAACCGAAGCGGACGCGGACCCCGUCUUUGUUCCGACAUCUUCCCGAUGCCGGGCCCACUUACUAGAAACCGAGACUCUCUACCAAAAUUUUGGCAGACUCUCCCCUGUAAUUUAAGCAAACCCAACAAAAAUUUCAAGCUGCAACAUACAUAAAAUAAAAAUCCCAACCAGCAGCAUGCUUUCAUAUUUCAACAAGUCAUACUAAAUGGCCUCCGGCCUCACAAGUAAAAUCUACCAUGGGCGAUAACAGAGCAUCUACUGAAUUUAGAUUACAAGAACAGUUAAGUAGAGGAAAUUACUCAAAUCCUAACUAGGAAGGUUCACAGUUCGAGCCUCGCACACCACUUGCACGCUUCCUGGAGCGACUACUGGCUGGGGGGGCGCAAAACAGAAAACAUGUGAGUGGACAAAAAACAUGAUUUGCAGUUAAAAACAAUAUAGUAACCCCACCGGGUAAAAAUAAUGCUCAAGACAUGCAGGUUCACAAUUCAUUACUUAAUUACUCAAAACAUAAUUCAUUUAAAACUCUUCAAAACACAAGUCAUCUCCUUCGUAAACCUCAUUCUCUCAAUCUUACAACUCCUGCCAAACCACUGAAAAACUCUAAUUCUUCACUCACUCAACUAUACAUAUACAUAUAACUAUACAUAUACAUAUAAAUAUAUAAAUAUAUAUAACUAUACAUAGCUAUACAAUAUACUCAUCACACUACCUAGGUACCGGGGAAACAAUCCAACUGGGGGAUCGUUUGACUAGUUCGCAGGAUUUCCAGGUGCUAUCCUGCGUCUAGGGAUGAGCGGUCCAACCGGGGGACGAAACUCCAAAGCUCACACACCGGAACAUCCAACGCCAUGUGUAGCUCCCAAACUAUGUCCUACGCGCGCAGACUGGAUCAUCACACACCGGAACAUCCAACGUCAUCGGUGAUGACCCUAAACACUAUACAGAGUCUUUCCAUACGCCGGAACAUCCAACGCCGCAUAUGGAAAGUGUCUCACAUGCCGGAACAUCCAACGCCGCGAGUGAGACGGAUAACCUAUUCUUCCCACACGCCGGAACAUCCAAUGCCGCGUGCGGAAAGUCUAAUAACUGGGAAAGGUACUUACAUAGUGUAAUCAUACAACUUCUCUCAACAACCCCUCAUAAUCAAGUUUUUCCACAACACACUUCAACAGCCCAAGUAUCUCGCCUAUAGAGAAUAUAUAUAUACUUCCCCAAAAUCCUUAUAAAAAUACACUCUCGAUACCCAAAAUGCCAAACUCACAAUAUAUUGCCAAAGCGCUAUACAACAUCAAAUUCAUCUCAUGAAUAUAAUAUAUUCAAUAAACCAUUAAAACAUCAUGCAUAAAUCUUUCAUCAAUAAAACCAUGCAUAUGAUUGAAAACAAAGUCCACUCACAAAUAUUCCUACGCUGCUUGACCACGAGAGAGUCCUGCCUGUUGAGCACAUGCAGUCGAAACACCUAUUUCGAGAUACGAACCUUUAAUUAGUAUAAAAUUAGUAGAAAUCACAAAUUAAAUACUUAAUUCCCCAAAUUCCCAAUACGUGCAUGUUGAAGAAGGUAUCCUAAGGUCCGAUUACAGGUUUAGGAAUCGUUCAGGAUUGUACGGUUAUCGCUAAUCCGCAAACUUUGCAUUAUUGAAUCGGAACAUCCGGGGCUCCGAUUCAUAAUCCGUGAAGUCCCAUACGGUCCUAGGAAUAUCUAGAACAACAUAUUUAAUUCGGAAAAGAUCUAACGGUCAGAACCUAUCGAACUCGGAUAAUGCACAAUAUGCGAAGUUCGAUAGUCAAACGACGUCUGAAUUGAGAUCCGUGAGUUCCUAUGCACUCGUGACAACCUAAGGAUCUCAUUGGGUCAAAUUGCAGCUUCACCAGCCUCGCCCACUUGCCGGCAGCACGUGGGUGUGUAGAGUAAAUUCCAGUGGCGGAAAAAUUCCACACCCGAGCUCACCCUUCCUAUCCUAGCUUCUACUCAAGGUCAGGAUCACUUCAUUCAACUAUGGGAAGGUCCAAUUCGGGCGGCAACUCGCCGGAAUUUCACUUUGAAAUUCAGCCAAAACCUAGGUUUUCUAAUUGGUUUUCUAGACAACAAAUCGGUCCAAACCUAUGCAUCAGUCAGCUAGAACUCGAAAAAAGAGGAAGAAACCAUACCUCACUCACCGGGUUUCGACGGCAAAGACGGCAGCUCGGCGACGGGUAAGCUCCGGUUCAAACCAGUCAAGCUCGUGGGCGAUUCUCGGGUUUUCCGACUGGGAGAUUGGGUGAUUCAGGUUCGGGGCCUCACGACGAGUUGAGCGGGACCGGUCUCGAGGGCUGGGGUGGUCGGAUGUGGCGGCGGAGCGGUGGUUUCCGUCUCGGUGAACAGUAACGGGGAGGGGGAGGACGACGCGGGAGAGAGAGAGAGAGAGAAUCGGGAAAAAGAGAGAGAGUGAGGUAAAAAUGAAAAAUCAGAUUUUUACUCUAACCCUUUUCAAAAUAAUUACAAUUUUGCCACUGUUAAAGUUUUGAUCGCCCACUCUUCGUUACAACUCCGUUUCAAGCCUACCGCGUGUCUACGAAUUCGUCUCAGUACCACCUACCCAAAAAUACCAUUCGUGGUCUCAAAAUCCUUCUGUAUAAGAAAAUGACCGAUUUACCCCUGUUUCAAGGGUAAAUUCGUAAUUCAUUUUAAAUCAAUUAAAAUAGACAUUUAAUUUUGGAGUCGGGGUGUUACAGCACAAUUUGCAUAGAACAAAUUUCCAAUCACCUCCAUUUGGUUUGCACAAUUUGCCUUUUGCACAGAUUUUCCCUGCAGUGCACUAUCUAGCCAAGUGACCAAAUCUAUCACAAUUGUAACAUUUUGGCUUGCCUUUAUACCUGCAUUCUCCAAAAUGGUACGUUGAGCACACUUUGCACUGAGGCUUUACAGUUUCUUGAUUUGCUAGCUGUGAUGAACUAAAGUUGUAAUUUGAUGCAGGAUUGUUCUGUUGAGGCUUUUCUUUUGACUCCCAUGGUUUCCCCUUAGGAUUCCAAUUCUUUUGAGACUUGGAUGAACCAGAUUGCACUACAUUCUUGUUCUGGCCUUUUGGACUCACAAUGAAUGAGGCAAAAACCUUCUUAGUUGCAUCAUCAUUGGGCAACUCAAAUCGUUUUUCUUGACUUUUCAGAAUGGCAAUUACUUCUUGUAAUUCCACAGUCUUUACACUCUUAGUGUUCUCAAUCACCAAACAGAUAGGGUCAUAUACCUUGCUUAGAUUAAUCAAGACCUUUUGAACAAGCCUCUCAUUCGAGAGCAUUUCACCAUACAUUUUCAUUUGAUUAAUCAGACCAUUCAGUCUAGUAAGGUAAGCAAACAAAGACUCAUUAUCAUGCAUUCUCGUAUAUUCAAAUUCACGUCUAGGGGUAGGCGCGGUCCAGUUCGGUCUAGUUCUCACCUCAAACUAGAACCGAAACCGGUACAACUUAGGCAAAAAAAAAUUUCAAAAACCGACCGGUUCCGGUUUUGAACCGGAUUAUUUAUUAUUUUUUUCCCCAAAAAAAUAGUUUUUAUAAUUUUUUUAAAAAAAUUAUAAUAAAUAACUUAUUUUUUUGGCUUAAAAAUUAACAAAUAAUCCAAUUCAUGCAUUUAUAAAUUUAUAAAUUUUUUGAAGUUGAACUUGGAAAAAUAGUGAUAAUAAAAUUUAAAAUAUGGCCGGUCCGGUGCGGUGGGGUGUACAGGAUCCGGAACCGGUUGGAACAGGUUCGGUCCGGUUUGUUGACUUUUUUGGUCAACCAAUUUUUUUCCACCAGUUCGGUUCGGUGUUCCGGUUUUUCGGUCCCGAUGCUCACCCCUAUUCACGUCUGAGAUUUUGAAGUUUUACCCAUCUAACAUGAUUUCCACCAUGAUGUUCUCCAUGCAAUAGCUCCCAAGCUGCUUUGGCAAUGUCUGCGCAUCGUUUGCAAUUCGUGGGAAAAUUUGAUAUGAGACUGCAUUUUGGAUAAUACCUAGAGCUUUUGCAAUCUUCACGAGGAUUGCAGCUGCUUUCUCAUCGUCUUCUUCCUCUUAGGUUUCCUCAAAUGCCUUCUUCUUCUUUGGAUUGGAUAUUGGAAUCCCUUUUUCUACCAAAUACCAUAGCUUAUAAGAUUUGAAUAUGGUCACCAUCUUAACCCUCCAAAACUCAUAGUUUUCGCUAGAGAAAAUCGGGGUUCUCACAUUAAAGCUUCCAGAUCCAGACAUGUCUGAUCUCAGAUGCUUCUGGAAAACGAGUUGUUUUCAAAUUUGGAGAGAAAUCGAGCUCAAGUAGCUUCGUGAGCUUUGAAUGAGCUUCAGAAUUUCCCGAUCUUUUCUUCACAGUUUGAACGCCCGGCUUUAGAUGAUUGAACCUGGCUUUGAGGCCAUGUUAAUGUUUUGAGUGUUUUGAAUGAAGAAAUCACAGAAGGAGAAAAGGAGAAGAAGCAAGAAGAGUUGCAGAAUACUACUCUGCUAUACAUGUAGCAGAGAGAGUGUUCAUUUCGUUCAGUCUCUCUCUCUCUCUCUUACAAUCUCACACACUUAGAGUGAGGGAAUAUUACCGUUAUGCAUAGUAGCUGGAUCCCUUACAUCACAAGGUGAUCUCAGCCAUUCAUCUAGGCGUCUAAUGAGAUCCUUACACUUGGCUUAUAAAUCUUAAAGAAACGAAAAACUAAAUUAACUAACUCUUAAGUCAGCUUAAGGCUUAUAAUUCAAGACAUGAAGGUAAAAUUAUGUUGAUCCUUUUCUGUGCCUUUCACUUCCGUAAGGUUUGCUUUCCGAAAUUAUUCGAUGCCUUGUCAUCUGAUUUACUCAUCUGCCAUAGUGGGGAGGAAUGAAGGCCAGAAGGCCGAUGUCCAAACUUUCCUCAUCUUAAGGAGAUGACUUUAGACAAGUGUCUGAAGCUAAGAGGAAGAACGACCCUAUCAUCUUCCAACAAACUCAAGAACACUGCGUGCUAUGAUGAGUUGAAGUUGAAGAUUUAGAGAGAAUGAAAGCUGUAACAGAAAACAUAGGGCUGAGAUAUCUCCAAGGUAUUGCCCCACUCUCCCACAAUCUCUGUUCCUUGUAUUAUGAAGCUUACAGGAUUACUCAUUUAAUGACAUCAUCACAUGAUCUUGUAGGUGAUUGUGGAGAGGUUUGCCAAUUGACCAUAGUGAAAUCGAAAAAGAAAAAGUUUGCUUUUUGAUAUUUGAAAGUAGGCACCUUUAUAUUCUUAGCACUAGACCGUUGCUCCGAACCACCCCCACAAACAACCCCCAAAAAAUGAAAAAACCAAUCUCGUAGUUACCAUAAUAAUAUGUCAUUCAUCGGAAAUUUGAGAAUUCACAAGGUCCCUUGAACUCACUUCUCUUCAACAGAUACAUAUUUAUGGCUGUCUGAGUCUCCAAUUCCUGUCACAAGACUCUUUCUUUUCUGAGCAUCUCCAGUUGUUCUGCCCUGGAGUAAAGGUAUGAGAAUAAGAGGGGAGAAGAUUGGGCUAAGAUAUUUUACAUUCCUUGCAUCUUCAUAGGCCAAGAAGUGAUCAUAUGAUAUGACCUCGUUAUCAAACAAAGUUUUUGCUUUUCGACAUUUCACUCUCAAGUCAAAGUCAGGCACAUAGCAUGAAGUAGGUCCCUUGUCAUUAUUUCAUGUGUUAUCUUGUCUAAUAAUUGGAUUAUCAUUUGUUAGAUUUAUUUUUAUGAAGCCGCAAUAAUUAGAUUUAAUUAAAGCCAGUAGAAUUAAUUUCUCCUUUGGAUUUAGGAGCAUCUUGUUGAGCUGAGGUAUGCACGGGAAGUGAAAGCACUUAAGUAAACGUCCAUAUUAAAAAGCUAUUAGAAGAAGCAGGCUUUUCAAAAUUUGAUAUGACAAAUGAAGGUAAGGCUUGUCUGUUUUCUUUCUCUGCCCCUUUAACUUCUGCAGGACUCUAAAACGUUACUUGCUCAAAAUGAAACGACAACUAUAGUUCAUUAGCAUUUUCUUUUUUUGUAAAAAAGAAUCUUGCCUUGAAUCGCAAAUUUUAUUUUAUUGGUAUUAAACUUGAUAAAUUCUGAUAAUUCUGUCACUUUGUUUCUGUUGAAAAGUAAAUUGCUCACUAAUUUCUCAUUAGUGAAUGGUUUACUUAGCAUAGUUGACUUCUUUUAUUUUUAGCUGAGUGAGAAUUAUGUAAGCUUGAGCUCAUAUGCCAAGUGUAAGGUCUUAGAUCAGGUUGUUAUUUGCCAACGGCUCUUAGGCCUUGUUCUGCCAUAUGUCACAUCCACAUUGGCCCUUGUAAUAGAAUGGUAUUGUUUGGCUGAUGUAAUGAGAGAAUGAGAAUGAAUACAAAAGGUGUGAUCUCUGCAAUGAAUUGUAGAUCGCACCAGAGAACAUUUCCAAAAUUCUGUUUUCUCCUAGCUACCUCUCUCACUCUCUCUAGAUCUUUAGCUCCCUUUGUAAUCCAAAUCUUAACAGUUUCUCACUGGGGCUGGUCCUUAUCGGUAUCCAAGAGCAUGCUGAUCACAACUUAUCUGUCUAGUCUCAAAUGCUGAGUUAUUAGUCACUCUGCACGAUAACAUGCCUUCUCAUAAACAGUUCUCAUUUGCAGGUUUAAUCUUUCAUGUCACAGCCCGAGGAGAGUUUACCGUUGUAUAUAGAUUUUUGUUUUUCUACAAACAAAUUGUGGCAAACAAAGGGGAAGGAAAUCUUCUCCAGGUGGAGCUCUAGCAACAGACCAGCAUUUGGACAAUGUGGUGAAGAGAUCUGAAUCUAGCAUAACAAGCAUCACAUGUCCAUUCAUGAUUCGGUAAUCUUUCAUCAUAAAAUUCCUUUCUGUAGGUAAUAACUUGAAAACGUCAUUUAUGAAUUUAAUUUGAGAUGGAUGAAAAUGUAUACACAUACUUGUUGGUUGGAAAUUAGUUUUCCGAAGCUACAUGAGUUGGGGUUAACUACAUGAGUUUGUUCAUAUCCUAAGAUGAAUCUAACUAUCCAAUUCUUAAUGUCUUGAACUUCAUAGUAUCUUAUUGAGCUGAGAUAUGCAUGAAAAUGGAAAACAAUCGAGUUGAAAUCCUCAUUGGAUAGCUAUUAGACUUGGCUUUUCAAAAUCUGAUGAGGGCCAAAAGUAUGAGAAAACACGAGAAGGUAAAAUUCUGUUGAUCCUUUUCUGUGCCUUUCACUUCCGAACUACAGUUCCAUUUCAUUAGAAUUGUUUUCUUUGUUGUAUCGCUGGACUCUCUGCGCAAGAUUCCCAAUGGGAACUACCCCAACUUGACCCAAUUUGGCAUGCAUUGUGUAUUUUGAGAUUUCAAGGUAACUGCUGCUAAUGGAAGAAAACUAAAGCGUAUUGGGUUCUCUUUUAAGGUAGAAUGACCUUAUCAUCUUCCAACAAACUCAAGAAAUGCAUGCUCUGAUGAGUUGAAGUUGAAGAUUUUGAGAAAGAAUGAAAGCUGUAGCAGAAAACAUGGGGCUGAGAUCUCUCCAAAGUACUGCUCCACUCUCUCACAAUCUCUGUUCCUUGAAUUAUGAAGCUUACAGGAUUACUCAUUACUGACCAUCAUCACAUGAUCUUGCAGGUGAUUGUGGGGAGGUUUACCAAUUGACCUUAGUGAAAUCAAAAAAGAAAAGUAAGUUUGCUUUUUUACAUUUGAAAGUUGGCACCUUUGUUAUUCUUAGCACUGUUAAGAUUUAAGGACGGACUGAUGCAGAAUGCAUAUUAUUAGUUUUCCUACUUCUAUUUGGAUUAGUUUUCCUCUUAUUAGUUUUCCUAUUAUUAGUUUUCCUAAUUCUUAAAGAUUCCUUCUUGUUAAAGGAUCUCUUAUUAGUUAAUUUGCUUUCCUAUUUCUUAAAGUUUACUUUUCCUUUUCCUAGACUAAAAAGGGCUUUGCCUCUAUAAAUAGAGUUGUUUGUAAUCUUUUAAGGCAGACUUGAUUAAUGAUAAAUUUCCUUACUUUAAACUCUCUGACUCCUUCCCUUUCCCUUCGUCUCUUCGAUCUCUAAUUCUUCUCCUCGAUCCCUUAUUUCUUCUCUAUUCUAUUGCUCAAGUGUUUACUCUAAACUUACGGGCUGUUUACUCUAAACCUAUGGGCUGUUCUACAUCAAUUGGUAAUCAGAGCCUUCCCUAGCUUUCGUUUACGUUUGCCCUCUCCCAUGGUGCCCCAAACCGUGGCCAGCCUUUCAGAACAAUUUCAUGCGUUCCAAGUCAAAGUUUCUGACGAUAUCGCUGGCAUGGAAACCCACCUCUCUAAACUCAGCAUUGACCUCAAAGAUGAGUUGGUACAGGCUCCCACACAUCGUGCGAAGACGGACCUGGCCAUCACCAAACUCUAAGACUCCGUUCAGUUGCUUAUCAAUCACUUUCGGGCUGGACAUGUUGAACCUUCUUCUACCUCCGCAUUGCUCUCGAGUUCCUCUAUGCCACCACCAAAAAGUGGCCUUCUACCCAAUCCACCAGUGCAUAAAAAACUCAAGGCCGUGCCAUACGGCAUGCCUCAUAGCUCCAUUGGGCUCUCACUUGAUGAUCCCAAGACUCAAUUGGAGCCCCCCCUUUCUUUAAAGUCUCUAGCACCGCCCCAUUAUACCCAACACACAACGGGCCCUUCUACAGUUCCACAUGAUCAAGGCACUCAUCCUCCUCGCCAUUUUGACAACGAUGUCAUCCGCCACAUCAAGCCUACCUCUCCUACUUUUGAUGGUCGUGGGGAUUCCACGAUGUUUCUUGAUUGGUUCAAGCCAUGGAAGAUUAUUUCGCCUGGUACGAUUUGACGGAUGCUCAUAAACUUCGCAUUGGUAAGAUGACGCUACAACCAGCUGCUCGACAAUAUUGGAAUUCCGUGGAAGAGCAACUAUACCAAUUUGGACAGCCGCCUGUGACUCUCUGGGACGAGAUGAAAUUAAAGCUUCGCGAACAAUAUCUUCCCACCUUUGAUCGCCAUCAAUUGUAUGACCAAUUAUGGACCCUUUCACAAGGAAGUUUAACCGUUACUGAAUUCCACGCUCGUUUUAUCGAACACAAGAUACGUGCGGGGAUUCGUGAAGAACCCGACAUCACCAUGUCCCGCUUUAUCCAUGCUCUUCAUGACGAUGUCAAACGUGAAGUCCGGACGUUCCGUCCGCAAACUUUGGAAGAUGCAUAUUGCCACGCAUUGGAAGGUGAAACUUUUUUGCGUCCACAACGUUGAUAUACAGGGCAUGCUGGGCACUCUUCCACUCUUACUCUAAACCGUAGUACUCCUAGCUCUAAAUAUGGCGUUGCUGGUCCACUUGCUCCUACAAUACCUGCAACAGAAAAAGGACCAGCCCCAUCCACGGCUUCUCAUAUCGAAUGCUAUCUUUGCCAUGCUAAGGUCCACAUCGCCUCCCGUUGUCCCCACAGAACUUUAAACCUUGGCUCCCUCAAUGAAGACUCUUGUGUGGACGAGUAUGUGGAGCCCCUUGAACCUAUUUAUGAUCCAGAACUUGAUAAUUGAUGUGAGGAGGAGGCGUUUCACCAACUGAGUGUCAUGCAUUGUAUUUGUUCAGCACCUACAUCUUCACCUCCUGAUUCAUGGAAGCGCACAAGUAUCUUUCAAACCUAUGUCCCUUGCGGUACCAAUAGAUGCCAACUAGUUAUUGAUGGGGGAAGUACGCUGAAUGUUAUCUCUAAAACUGCUGUCGAUCGCCUUCACGUUUAAGCAGAGCCACACCCUCAUCCUUUUCAUGUUGGUUGGGUUGAUAAAACCAGGUUACCUGUUACCGAAAGCUGUCUUGUUCCUCUUUAAUUGGGUCCCUGUCACGAGCAACUUUAUUGUGAUAUCUUACCUAUGAGGGUCGCACAUGUGCUCCUAGGCUGGCCUUGGCUUUAUGACCGUCGUGUGAAAAGUUGCGGCCCAGAGAACACCUAUACUUUUCAACAUGAAGGAAAGAACAUAACGUUAAAGCCUUCCAAUCCAGCCAUCGAACAACUAAGGAUGUUCAAAAAACUGUUAAUUAAAGAGAAGGCUUUCGAGCAUCGAUUGAGUAUUUUAUCACCUGUAGACUUUGCACACGAACUGCAAGAAACUGGUGUGGUCUUUGCCCUCUUGCUUAAACCGGCAUCUGACUACACCCCCACUCCACUUGCUGAACCCAUACAACAGCUCCUCAUUCUCUGAUGUCAUACAUGAUGACCCACCUCCAGCGAGAUAGAUUCAGCAUGCCAUUGACCUUGUUCCUGGUUCGCAAAUUCCUAAUCUUCCCCAUUAUCGUAUGAAUCCACCUGAGCGAGCGGAAUUGAAUCGACAAAUUCAAGGGUUGCUGGCUAAGGGCUUUAUUCAUCAUAGCAUAAGUCCUUGUGCUGUUCCAGUUCUCCUUACCCCCAAAAAAUGCGAAUGUGUGUAGAUAGUCGCGCUGUAAAUAAAAUUACAGUUAAGUAUCGUUUCCCUAUACCGCGACUUAAGGAUAUGUUGGAUGAUUUGGCGAGUUCCCAAUGGUUUUCAAAGAUAGAUCUUCGCAUUGGCUACCAUCAAAUCCGUAUUCGUGAAGGAGAUGAGUGGAAAACCGUGUUUAAAACCCCUGAUGGCUUAUAUGAGUGGCUUGUGAUGCCCUUUGGCAUGUCCAAUGCACCCAACACGUUCAUGAGGGUGAUGACUCAUGUGUUACGACCUUAUAUUGGUAAAUUUCUGGUAGUCUAUUUUGAUGACAUACUGAUAUACAGCCGCUCUCGGGAGGAACAUCUCCAACAUCUUAAGACGAUAUUCUCUACUUUACGGAAGGAAAAACAGUAUGCCAACUUAAAAAAAUGUUCGUUUCUUCAACCUUAAGUUUUAUUCUUGGGGUUCAAUAUUUCUGCGGCUGAGGUUAGCACAGAUAUUGCCAAGGUAGACGCUAUUAUAUUAUUGUUUGGCCAACACACACGACUUUGACAGAGGCACCCAGCUUUCAUGGUCUCACCUUUUUUAUUGAUGAUUUAUUCCAGGGUUCAGUACUAUUAUGGUACAAAUAACUGAUUGUAUGAAACAAGGAGCUUUUCUUUGGACCCAUGCGGCUGCCAAGGCCUUUACAAUUUUGAAGCAGAAGAUGACUCAUACGCCUGUUCUUCGACAUCCUGAUUUGACUAAAGCCUUUGAAGUCGCAUGUGACGCUUCUGGAGUUGGGAUUGGUGGUGUGCUUAGCCAAGAAGGACAUCCCCUAGCAUACUUUAGUGAGAAACUUAAUGAAGCAAAGCAACGUUAUUCUACUUAUGAUAAGGAGUUUUAUGAUGUGGUACAAGCACUUCAGUAUUGGCAAUAUUACCUACUGCCAAACGAAUUUGUGUUGUAUUCAGAUCAUCAAGCUUUGAAAUAUCUCCACUCUUAACGCACCAUUAGCAGUCGACAUGUUAAGUGGUCCGAAUAUCUCCAGAUCUUUACAUUUGUUUUACGACACCGUCUAGGCAUUGACAAUAAGGCAGCUGAUGCCCUUAGUCGCAUGGCUACUAUUUUGAACACAAUGACAGUUCAAGUAACCGGGUUUGAUCGUAUUAAGACUGAGUAUUCAUCUUGUUCAGAUUUUGGAAUUAUUUUUCAUGAAGUUUCUAAAGGUAACCGUCGCAAGUAUGUAGACUUUAUUACAAGGGAUGGGUUCUUAUUUCGAGGAACACAAUUAUGUAUUCCCCGUACUUCUCUCCAUUAAUUCCUUGUUUGGGAACUACAUGGUGGCGGCCUCGCAGGACAUUUUGGCAAAGAUAAGACUAUUGCCUUGGUGGAAGAUCGUUUCUAUUGGCCUUCAUUAAAACGUGAUGUUGCUCAUCUCAUCUCCCAAUGACGAACAUGCCAGCUAGCUAAAGCUCGCAAACGUAACACAGGUUUAUAUACCCCUCUACCAAUACCUCAUGCACCAUGAAAGGAUCUUAGUAUGGAUUUCGUGCUUGGUUUACCUAAGACUAGUCGCGGCUAUGACUCUAUCUUUGUCAUAGUUGAUCAUUUUUCUAAAAUGGCACAUUUUCUGCCUUGUGCCAAAAAUACUGAUGCUUCUUAUAUAGCCAAGUUAUUUUUUAAGGAAAUAGUCCGUUUGCAUGGCCUCCGUGUCUCCAUUGUUUCUGAUCAUGACGUCAAAUUUGUUAGUCAUUUUUGGAAGACUUUGUGGAAGCUUUUCCUUACUACUUUGGAGUUUUCUUCUGCUUUCCAUCCCUAAACAGAUGGUCAAACUGAAGUGGUUAAUCGCAGCCUUGGUGAUUUACUCCGCUCUUUAGUUAGGGAUAAACCUGGUAAUUGGGAUCUCUUGUUGCCUGUGGCUGAGUUUGCUUAUAACAACUCAAUUAAUUGAAGUACCGGUAAGAGUCCUUUUGAGGUGGUUCAUGGGUUUUCUCCCCGAUCACCUGUUUGCUAAAAUAUGAAAACUAUGAGAGAAUAUUUGUUUGUGGGAAUUUUUUGUGUAUUCUUCUCCUUGUAGGAGGUCAUAUUUAUAAUACAACGAAACCUGAAUGGACAAGUAAAUAAUAAAUUCCUAAAUCGAUUUACAGUAGGAAAUCAGGAAUUAAAGUAAAUCAAUUACAAUUAUAAUAGGAAUUCUUGGUGUGUAAGGAAAGUAAGUCAAUAUCCACAAGUCACGCCAACACUCUCCCUCAUGUUGGUGCAUAGAUGUCGCCAAUGCCCAACUGAUCCAGUGAAUUGUGGAAUGCUUUACUGGAAAUCGCCUUUGUCAAAAUAUCCGCCAAUUGAUCCUCGGAUUUCACAAAAGGAAACUGAAACACUUUAGCCUCAAGCUUCUGUUUGAUGAAGUGUCGAUCCACCUCAACAUGUUUAGUACGAUCAUGCUGAACCGGAUUUUGUGCAAUAGCUAUAGCAGCCUUGUUGUCACAAAAGAGAUUUAUUGUGGAUGUAGGUUUAUACCCAAGUUCAAUAAGCAACUUUCUUAACCAAAGAAGUUCACAAAUCCCUUUAGUCAUGCCUCUAACUCGGCUUCUGCACUGGAUAAAGCUACUGCAUUCUGUUUCUUGCUCCUCAAUGUCACCAAAUUACCUCCCACGAAUGUGAAGUAACCCGAUGUGGAUUUUCUAUUUGUUAUAUUACCUGCCCAAUCUGCAUCUAAAUAACCAUCAAUAUUUAGAUGACCAUGCUUUGAGAACAUAAGUCCUUUUCCAAGUGCAGACUUCAAAUAUCUAAGUAUCCGAAGAACUAUAUUCAUGUGGUCUUCACUUGGAGAGUGCAUAAAUUGACUGACAACGCUCACCGCAUAAGCAAUGUUUGGUCGAGUAUGUGACAAAUAGAUCAAUCUUCCCACUAACCUUUGGUAUCUUUCUUUGUUAGUUGGAACUUGAUCCAGAUAUUCUCCAAGAUGAUGAUUCUGAACAACAGGAGUGUCCGCAAGUUUGCAAUCUAGCGUUCCUGUGUCUGUCAACAAGUCCAAGACAUAUUUCCUUUGAGAGAGAAAUAUGCCUUGCUGCAAUCGAGCCACUUCAAUUCCCAACAAAUACUUGAGUCCACCUAGAUCCUUCAUCUCAAAAUCAGUAGCCAAAUAGUCUUGUAGCUGUGAUAUUUCCUGUUUAUUAUUUCCAGUAAUAAUCAUAUCAUCAACAUAGAUUAUUAAUAUUGUUACCUUCCCUUUCCUAUGUUUCAAGAAUAGAGUAUGAUCUGAGUUGCACUGUUUGAAACCAUUGUUCUUCAUUGCCAUGGUGAACCGUCCAAACCAUGCGUGUGGUGACUAUUUCAAUCCAUACAAUGCUUUAAGUAACCUGCAAACUGUUCUAGUCUAAGUAGUAUUAUAUCCAGGAGGAAUGUCCAUGUACACCUCCUACAUGAGUUCGCCAUGUAGAAAAGUAUUCUUUACAUCAAACUGAUGUAGUGGCCAAUCCAAACUAGUUGCAAGGGACAAUAAGACUCUGACGGUGUUUAACUUUGCAACUGGUGCAAAGAUUUCUUCAUAGUUUAUACCAUAGGUCUGUGUGUACCCUUUUGCCACAAGUCUUGCCUUGUAUCGCUCGAUAGAUCCAUCUGCAUUCUGUUUUAUAGUAAACACCCAUCUACAUCCGAUAGUCUUUUUUCCUUAUGGUAUAGUCUCCAAUGUCCAAGUCUGAUUUUUCUCAAGAGCUUUCAUCUCCUCUUUUAUAGCUUGGACCCACUUAGGAUCUUUCAAUGUUUCAAAGACCUUGGUUGGAAUAUGGAUAGCAGACAACUGAUGCACAAAAGCCUUGAGUGGUUCAGACAGCUUCUCAGUGGAUACAUGAUUUGCAAUUGGAUACUUGGAUGUCUUGCCAAUAUCAGGUGAAUAACGGUUUGGUGGCUUCCCACGAUUUUGCUUGAAAGGUAAUUGAUAUCCAAUAGUUUUAUCCUCUAAAUGCACAAGUCUAGGAGGAGUAGUUACCUUAAAGAUAUUCUCAGGAGAUUGGUCCGUCUGUAUUGUUGAGUGAGAGGGGGGGUCUUCAUCUUGUUGUUCUGAGUUGUCUGUAGGAGUAUGACUCGAAUAAAAAACAGCUUCGCAAGGGUUAGACGAUUGAUCGUUGUUUGGCAGAGAGCAUUUGCACGUGCUAGACUCGAGACGAUCGAUUGUUAUUGUUUCUUAGUCGAGAGCAAUCUUCGUGUAUAGAUGAAUAUCUUCGUUUUCCAAGUUGCUCUAAUUGAGCUCUUCACUAUGUAUCUCCCCUUGAAGAGUAGAAUUGGAUGCUGGGUCAUAGAAGAACAUCUCCGAUUCCAGAAAGGUGACAUCUAAAGUGACAUAGGUUCGUCGGGUAAGAGGGUGAUAACAUCAGUAGCCUUUCUAAUGAGUGACAUAACCCAAAAAAACACAACGAAGCGCACAUGGAUCAAGUUUGCUUCGUUUAUUUUUAUGAAGAUGAACGAAGGCCACACAACCAAAAUGUGAGGAGUAAGCACCAAAACAGAAGGUAGAGGCCCGUGUUGCGCGAGCACUUGUAAUGGAGUUUUGAAGUUCAAAACCCCAGAAGGCAUGCGGUUGAUAAGGUGGACAGCAGUGACGACAACAUCAUCCCAAUGAUGACUAGGAACAUGGCCACCAAUGAGAAGAGCACGGGCUGUUUCAAGGAGAUGACGAUUCUUCGGUUCGGCAACACCAGUGUCUGGGGGCAAGUUGUCUCAUGAAUAAUACCAUGUGUCUGGAAGUAAGUUUGAAAAUCAUGAUUAACAAAUUCUCCACCGUUGUCAGAGUGAAAAAUUUGUAUUCGAGCAUUGAACUGUGUUUCCAUCUGUUUGUGAAAGGAUUGGAACAGGAAAAACACUUCAUUCUUAUUUUUCAUCAAAUAAAGCCAUGUCAUUCGUGUACAAUCAUCAACGAAUGUGAUAAACCAACGAAUACCGGAAUGAGUAGAAAUAGGUGAGGGUCCCCAAACAUCAGAAUGAAUUAAAGCAAAAGGAUUAGUACUUUUAUUCAUACUUAAAGGAUAGGAUGCUCUGUGACUCUUGGCUAAAAUGCAAGUGUCACAUUUAAAAUAUGAGUCCUUAAAUACAGAAAACAACUCGGGCAAUAAGUGUCUCAUAUAACCAAAAGAUUGAUGCCCUAAACGUCGGUGCCAGAGCCAAAUCUGUCGGUGCUUGUCAUCAGACGGAUGCUUCACACUGUUAGCACGUCCCAUACUGAAGUCAUUCACAUAGUACAGCCCCCCUCUUUUAGUACCACGCCCAACGAUCUCCUUGGUGAGAAUAUCCUGUAAUAAACAAAAAUUGAGAUAAAUUAGUGCACAACAAUUUAGUUGUUCAGUUGCCUGGCUCACAGACAUUAAUUUAUUGGACAAAGAUGGAACGAGUAGAAUAUUAGAAAGGGACAGAGAAGGUGAAAGGGCGACAGUGCCAGCCCCUGUCAUAGGAUAGGUAACUCCAUUCACAUUGGCAAUACUUAUGCGGCGGGGAGUAGUGGUGUGCAAAAAAUCAUUCGGAUCAAAGGUCAUAUGAUCAGUGGCGUCAGAAUCAAUUAUCCAACCAGUAGUAUCUCGUAAAUCAGAAGUAUGAAAUGCGUAACCGCAGUUACCUGAGACAUCCGGAAGCGCGUGACUAUCAGUAGGGUCUACCUGCGAGAACAAGGCUAAUUGGGGUUCGGUAGAGACAAGAGCAGCACGGCCGGAAUUACUAGCAGUUUCUCUGAGCUUGCGAGUGCGGAGGUCCUCCCACUAAUCAUGAUAACCAUUCAACUUAAAACAGGUGUCACGGGUAUGUUUGGGGUUGCCACAGUGUGUGCAAUUGGGACGGGAAGGUGGGAUGGUUUUAGGAGGUGGCGCACCAACAGUAGUAGCAUAUGACUAGAUCUGAAGGUGGGCCACAGUAGAGGAAUUAUGGGGCUGUCCGGCAUGAGUAGGGGGACUUAAUCGAGGUGCACUCUUGGCCGCUAUGCCAGCGCCAGUGGGUGCAGAUGAACCCAUCAUCACUGCUUGUCGAACAUCUUCACGGCAAACAUAGGCAUAAGCUUGGUCCACAGUAGGGAAUGGAGUCAUGUGAAGAACAUCACUUUGGGCCUUAUCAAGACGAACAUCAAGGCCAUCCAAAAAUAUGUAAACUCGAUCUUCCUGCAGAAUAUCAUUAUAACGUUUGAUAUCACUUUCAUACUCCAUCAUAUUUGGACGACGGAAAUCAAUCUCUCUCCAUAAGCUUUGGAGAGUAUUGUAAUAGGUUUCAAUGGAGCCGCCAGCUUGUCGCAUACGGGAGACUCGACUUUUUAGAUCAUAAACCUGAGAGGUGUCAGUGCCAUCAUAGUAAGUUAUGGCAAUUGCAUCCCACACUGCUUUUGCCGUUGGAAAACGAAUGAAAUUGCCAAUCAAGCUCUGCUCCAGAGAAUUGAUUAUCCAUACCUUCACAAUAGAGUCCUCAGUGCGCCAGCGAGGAAACGUUGGAGCUGUUGAAAGAGGUUGUGGAAGAUCGCCAUUAAUAUAUCCCAAUUUAUCUUUGCCAGAGAUAUACAACUCGACAACUUGGGACCAUAGGGAAUAGUUGGUGCCAUCCAACUUUAUGCUAAUCUGUGCAGCGGAAGCUUCAUAGGUAAUCGUCGUCGGAAUUGUUGUCUGAUUUGGGUUCAAGAUCGUCGUCUGAUUCGAGUUCGGGGUCGUCGUCUUGGUAGGAUCCUGAUUUAAGAUCGAGUUCAAGGUUUGAGUCUGCAUCUGCAUUAGUUGAGCCACCUGGGCACUCAACUCGACUAUGGUUAGUUGAGAAGGAGAGGAGGAAGCAGUGGUGCUACAGCCAUGAAGAUUAGAAGAGUCAUCCUCCCCCAUGGUGGCAGAUAAGGUUUAGAAACUAGAGUCACCAAUCCCAAGAUCGCUGCUCUGAUACCAUGCUAAAAUAUGAAAACUAUGAGAGAAUAUUUGUUUGUGGGAAUUUUCUGUGUAUUCUUCUCCUUGUAGGAGGUCAUAUUUAUAAUACAACGAAACCUGAAUGGGCAAGUAAAUAAUAAAUUACUAAAUCGAUUUACAGUAGGAAAUCAGGAAUUAAAGUAAAUCAAUUACAAUUAUAAUAGGAAUUCUUGGUGUGUAGGGAAAGUAAGUCAAUAUCCACAAGUCACGCCAACACUGUUGAUUUAGUUGCUCUUCCUAUGGCUGCCCGUGCCUCAGAUUCUGCUACGUCGUUUGCUGAACAUAUUAGGCAAUUGCAUGAUGACGUCCGUAGACAAAUAUCCAUGCACACCGAUACUUAUAAACUGGCAGCCAAUGCUCAUCGUCGUCAACAGGAGUUUCAGGAAAGGGAUUUUGUUAUGGUGCGGGUUUGUCCUGAACGUUUUCCUAAGCACUCUUUUAAGAAGCUUCAUGCUCGUUCGAUGGGUCCUUAUCGUAUCAUUAAGAAGCUUGGGUCCAAUGCUUAUUUGAUUGGGUUGCCUGCAGAUAUGCAUAUAAGUCCCAUUUUCAAUGUUUCUGAUUUAUCUCCUUAUCGGGGCACCUUUUCUCCACCUAUUUCUAUAGAUGUUGCUAAGGGUUCCACUCCUCCUAUGGUGCCACAUAUUCCUUCUACUAGUUUUAUCCCUACAGAUCAGAUUGAGGACGUCUUGGAUCAUGAAGUUGUGGCCUCGUCUACUGGCGGUUCUACUCGUUAUCUGGUUCGUUGGGUUGAAAGGCCUGCUACUGAGGAUACUUGGAUUACAGAAGCUGAAUUUUGCCAGUUGGAUUCUACUCUUCUGCAAAGUUAUCAGAAUGCUCUUCAUGAUCUGGAUUUGGCGGCAUCCCGUCCUCCCAUCAUCCGUACUUACAAACGAUGUCGUCAUCCGUAAUCUUGGUUUACUCGCCGGUGUCGAGUUCUUUUUCGGUGGGGGAGAAUGAUGCAGAAUGCAUAUUAUUAGUUUUCCUACUUCUAUUUGGAUUAGUUUUCCUCUUAUUAGUUUUCCUAUUAUUAGUUUUCCUAAUUCUUAAAGAUUCCUUCUUGUUAAAGGAUCUCUUAUUAGUUAAUUUGCUUUCCUAUUUCUUAAAGUUUACUUUUCCUUUUCCUAGACUAAAAGGGUUUUGCCUCUAUAAAUAGAGUUGUUUGUAAUCUUUUAAGCCAAACUUGAUUAAUGAUAAAUUUCCUUACUUUAAACUCUCUGAUUCCUUCCCUUUCCCUUUGUCUCUUCGAUCCCUAAUUCUUCUCUGUUCUAUUGCUCAAGUGUUUACUCUAAACUUACGGGCUGUUUACUCUAAAACUAUGGGCUGUUCUAUAUCACGGACCCUUGGCCCACCACUAGCAACAUCGAUAUUGUCCCCAACUUAACCACUUGUUUAGCAGGUGUGGGGUUUGAUACAAAAGACCUCGAUGUUAUUAGGAGUGGAACCAUUUAUUAUAUGAGACUUUCUAUUUUGUUAAUUAAGUUUCCGAUGUGGGACUCGUGUAUUCUUUAACAAGCACUAAACCGUUGCUCGAAACCAUCCAUCUUAAUCUUUCUGAUAAUUUACACGGUCCCUUGAAGGCAGUGGAAGGGGAACAUGUUUUUAACUAAAGGGAUACUUAACGACGGCAAUAAACUUAACAUCCUUAUUAUAUGCUUUCUAUUAGCUUUUGAUCAGAGCUAUCUUGUCCUGCAGAUAGUUCAUUUGUGUUUGGAGGGGUGGCCUUCAUUUGAUCUGACCACAUGGAAAAGCUUUCUUUGUGUUGAUGAAGAAUUCUUCAUCUCAAACAAGAUAAGCUGAUGUUAAACCCUGGGGGGCACGUCUUCGUUUGGGUUUCUUGCAAGAAAACUUUAUCGGAUGAUUAUGAAGUUGUUGAAAGUUACUUUCUAUGUAAUGCCAUAUGCAGCCAAGUUGUUGAAAGAUUAUAGCUUUGUCUAUGAAUCCUUCAAGGACAGCCAGUUUGAUACUGAUUGUUGUUUCCAACAAAAGCUGCAUCUCUACACAUUAUAGCUUAUUCGUCGAAUGUUACAUAUAUUCAAUGUUUCCAUACAUUUCAAGAAUUUUGACAAGCAAAAGGUCAUUCAUUGAAAUUCAAUAUGAAAUCUUCUGAGGUCGUCUAUGCUAUGGGAUAAGCUGCUCAUGUUAUGACCCUUCUCUUCCUUGUUCCCUUGACAUCACAAUAUUAUGCCUCCACUUAAGCAAAUUAGAAGACACUUUGGAGUUGGGAUAUUAAAAGUAGAAUGCUACAUGCACAACUGAUCAUAACAUUCUCUUAAAAAAAUUUAGCGUUAACAAGUAAAUAAACAUGCACUCACAUUUUAUUUGCACUUAAAAAUUAAAGUUGUUGUGCAUGGAACUAAAUUGACACCGAUUUUAUUUUAUACCUUCUAUUUUAUUCUUUCCAUGAGUGAAUGUAUGUUUUGCUUGCUAAUGCUCAACAAUUUUAAGAAAACUGCUAUAUGAUUAUACCUAAGUUUCAAUUUGUAGAAAUGUCACUUGAGCUUAAACCAUAGUUUAAUUUGUCACCUUAAAGAAUAAUUUAGGAGAAACGUCACCUUAAUUUUUCAAAAUCCAUGAUUUAUCAUCUGACUUUAACACCAUCCAAGUCUUUCUAUUUUCAGGUGUAUUUUAAACAUAGAAAAAUCAUUAUUGUAACAAAAAUUGUAUGUCUUUUAAACAAUUAAAAUUGAAAAAAUUAAACAAAUCGCCUUCCCCCAUCCCCUAUGUGCCACUGGCAGCUCCAACCAACCUUUGCCUGCCCACCUUGAAAUCCAUUACCCCUUCCCUCUUCACAGCCCCUUCCUCCAUUCCCCCUUCCCUCUACCCCUUCCUCCUCUCUCUACUAUGGCACACCUACCUUUCACACACAAAUUCCCUCAACCCACCCAAACCAAGUCCACCUUCUUCUUCUUUUUUCUUUUUAAAAAUUUUAGACAUCUCAAUGAACACCAAGAAAAAAUUUAGACAUGCCCAGAGAGAGAUAGAGAGUGGAAGGAGAGAGAAAGAGAUGAGAGAGGGAGGAGAGAGAUGGAGAGACGAGGGAGGGCGACAGAGAGACUAGAGAGGGAGGAGACAGAGAGCGUGGAGACAAAGAAAAAAAAACUAUAAAAUUAUAUAUUUUUUUGUUCUUAAUAAUGGAGAUAUUUUUGAGUGUUUUUGGGUUUGAGUUUUUAAAAAUACUUACACCUACAAAAAGAGUGUUUUUUUUAAUUUUUUUAAAUUUUUAAAAUUUUUUUUUUUUAUAGUUGGUUUAGGUUUUUGUUUGCUUACAGACUACGCUUGAAUUAAAGGAAAACAAAAGAGUAAAUAGAAAAAGGAAAACAAAAGCUUAUUACCGACUAAGCAAAGAAAGAUACUCAAAGCGACACGUGUAUGACACAUAUACAAAAAGACUCCGAGCAGCGAAAGAGAAAAAUUCCUAUCUGUCUUACAAAGUGUCAGAAACCCAAACACAAAACAAAAGCAGACGAAAUUGAAAUCGAAAUCUUCUUCUUCUUCUUCCUUCUUGUGUCUGUUUAUGCAAUUCAUCUUCUUCGUCCUCUUCCCUUUCCUCGCAUUCUCAUCCUUCGCAGAAGAAUCAAAUCCCUCCCAUUUCCAAAACAUGGCCACUCUCGGCGGAGUCCACGAAUCCCAUGCCUCCGAGAACAGCCUCGAAACCGAAGACCUCGCUCGCUUCGCCGUUCAAGAUCACAACAAGAAGGAGGUUUUUACUCUUUUUUGCCUUUUAAUUUCUUCAAUAUUAUGCACUUGAAAUUACUUCCCGCUCAAUCAGUCAGUGACUUUUGAUACAUUUCUCGUACACCAACACGAACACCAACUGAAUGGGAAGAAAGCACUUGAAAUUAUGGCCACAUGAAAUUAUAAAGUCCACCAACAUUUAUGAUUAAUAUAAUUCUAUCUUUAUCAUGAUCAGAGCCCAAGAUUGAGUUAAACCUUGUAGUCAGUCACGUGUGUGGUGUGGAACGGAUAAUUGUGGUUUAAACAGUCCCCAUUACGAUGCAUGUGAACGGGAUCUUCUCAAUGUUGAUAUGCCUAUGAUCAUCCAAUUAAUGGGGGGCUUGUGAAAAACGAAAUGCAAGUUGGUUCGCAAUUCUCUGUUUUUUUUUUUUUUUGUUUCGUGAUUUUUUUAGUCAAUCGGUUGUAGUUGCUGGUUUCGGAAUGUGGCAUGCGCUUAAUAAUGCUGGCAAUUGCUUGGAAACCCUAAAAUUGGGCCAAUCUAUGUUGCCCGUCGGUACGAAGAAGAAGAUUCAUGAAAUAGGCCCAAUGAGAAGAAGUGGAAGUCCUUAGCAGGCAGGCUGUGCAUAUAUAUCAGCCAGCGAAGAAAAUCUUAAAAUUACAUCAUGCUAAGCAUACUAUAUUUGCAUACCACCUUUUUAAUAGAUGUGAUACACAACGUGAUAUAUAAAUUGAUAUAGCUAGUAUUUUUGUUUGUAUACUUAUGAGGAAGAUGGAUCUUAAAAGUAAAUAAUUCAUUUUUGCUGUCUCAAACCCUACCGCGUUGUUUGGUAAGCAUAAACGACGACCCUCCACAAAGAAAAGCCAUGGUCCUAGAUUCUUGAUUGAGUUGUUUCUAAAGAUAUAAAAACAGCAAUGAGCUAAUGCUUGUCAAUGUCCAAAAAAGAAAAACUGAAAAAAGAGAAGGAAACGAUCAAUGCUUAUUAUAUAGAUGAUGUGAUGUCUCUUUUUAUAUAGAUGAUGUGAUCGUUUUAAGGACAGAAAAUGAAGUGUCAAAGAAACCGUGUAGGGUCAUCCGCGUUACAAAAGCAUUUGGGUUCUUGUUGUUUUUUUUUUUUGUAACCAAAAUAUCGGGGCGUAAUGAUCUCAUUCGAAGACUCCAAGUCAAUGAAAUAUUGAGUCACAUAAUAUCUCAAGUUCUCAACAGCCCUUCAAAACUUGCUGCAAAACUGAACCAGAAGAUCCAUAAUCCUUCGCAAAGAAUCGAAACAUGACUGGAGCUUUGGUUGGAGGGGCUUUUCUCUCAGCUUCCUUGCAGGUGCUGUGCAACAAGAUUGGUUCCGGCAAAUUCAAGGACUUACUCAAAAGUAGUUAGGGUUUAAAUUAAUAUAUAUGUUUAUUCUUCUCUCAAGGAGGGAUAUAUAUAUAUAAAGACUUUCUCUAUUGCGAAGUGCAAGUGUGCGGAGUGGAUGAGGACUUCUAUUUGUGACCAUUAGAUUCCUUGUACGCUAUGAAUUUAAAACAUCAUUGAGAACUUCUAUUUCUAUAAGAGCUUUUCAGUCUUUUGGUAAGAGCCACAAUUUCCCGCGCUUACAUAUCCAAUCUACUAACCUCUGUUUCUUUCUUCCACCAGAACACCUUCUCUUCCCUGUGCUUUCAUCCCUAGCAAUAUCACAGCUGCUCCUCUGGGUUAUAAUAUUUUUAUUUCUUGUUUUCAAGACAUUCUCGUCCAUGUGCUCUCAUCCCUGGCAAUAUCAUAGCUGCUCCUCCAGGUUAGAAUAUUUUUAUUUCUUCUUCUUUUCUUUUUUGCUUUAUGAUAUAUGGGUAUUUUCCAUUUUGCUUAUACAAAGUUUUUUUAUUUUCUUAUGGUAUGGGAUUGUUUACUAAGAAGAUUUGGGUUUCGUUGGAAAUCACGAAGGUUGGAAUCGGAAAAACAGAAAGCACUGAUGUAUGGGUUUUAUGGAUUUGGCUACUAAUUGGUCUUUGUUUUUGUAUGGUUUUGGCUAAGUUAUUCUAUUUCGUUUUCUGGUUGAAAGUUUAUCUAAUUCAGGUUUGAUAUGCACUUACGAGUUUGGCUUUUGGUUUAAGCAUUGCUACAGUAUUCUUUGCUAUUGUUUACCAAUGUUCAUUGACCAAUAUUUUUGUUAUUUUUUGCUUUAAUAGAUGAAACUUUAGAGAUGGGAAUGAAUUUAUGGAAGAUACUAAUGAAAAUAAUUCAGAUUUAUUUUUCAAUCCUCAAGCAGAAGAUCAGCAUGUACCAAAAAUUGGUCAAGAGUUUGAAUCACUUUGAAUCAUUAUUGUUCAAGCUAUAAUUUUGUAUGAAGCUGAACGUCAAUUAUUGUUGUAGCUUCAAUUCCUUUGUCUUGUAAUGGAGUCUUGGGACCAUCUAUUUCAAUCAUUUAUCUCUUUAUAUCUUUUUCAAACUUUUGAAGAUAUCCUAUACACAAACUUUGCAAAUCAUCCGAAGAAGGCAUGACUCUUCGAAUCAUAUCAGGAAAUCAUAGUUAGCUUCAAUAUCCCCAUCUGCAAAUUAAAUAUAGUUAGUAAUUGUAAACAUCAGGUAAAUACAUAGUAUAAUUAAACAACAGAUAGCCAAGGUCAUAUAAAAAAAUCCCACCCAGCAGUACAACACCUCACCAAACUCAAAACAAAACAAAAGUGAGCCAAGUUCAUAUGAAGACUAAGUAAAACCCAAACCCAAAUCAACGAGGAUAUCCCUAUAAAAAGAAAUAGAAAAUCAAUGUAGAGAAGAAGGGAAAUGACGUAUUGCAUAUACAGAAUCACAAAUUGCAAUUGUGGUGGAAGAAAGAAACAGAGGUUAGUAGAUUGGAGGUGUAAGCGCGGGAAAUUUUGGCUCUUACCAAAAGACUGAAAAGCUCUAGAAAUAGAAGUUCUCAAUGAUGCUUUAAAUCUACAGCGUACAAGGAAUCUAAUGGUCACAAAUAGAAGUUCGCAUCCACUCCGCACACUUGCACUUCGCAAUAGAGAAAGUCCCUAUAUAUAUAUAUACUACAUACAUAGUGGGUACAAAUAGGAACGUUGACUUUGACUCAUGCCAACACUCCCUCUCAAGUUGGUGCAUAGAUAUCGGUAAUGCCCAACUUGUCAAGUGAGUCUUCAAAUCAGUGCUUUUGACACAGCAUGGGUCAACAUAUCUGUAAGCUGCUCCGAAGAAGGCACAAAAGGUAUAGAAAUUAACUUAUGCUCCAGCUUCUCCUUAAUGAAAUGUCGAUCAACUUCUACAUGGUUAGUUCGAUCAUGUUGCACCUGAUUGUUAGCAAUUUCAAAUGCAGACUAUCACAGUAGAGCUUUAUAGCAGCAUCUGGUCUAAACCCAAUUUUAGCAAGUAACCACCUUAACCACAAUAUUUCACAAACCCCUUGGGCAAUUCCUCUGUACUCAGACUCUAUAGAGGAACAAGACACAACAUGUUGCUUCUUGCUAUGCCACAUAACUAGGUUACCGCCAACAAAGGUGAAGUGACCUGAUUUAGAACGUCUAUCUAUAAUAUUCCCUGGAUAAUCUAUGUCAGUGUAACCUUCUAGAUCCAAGUGGCCAUUUUUCUUAAAUAUUAAACCUCUCCCAGGAGCAAACUUUAAGUAACUCAAAAUACGCAUCACAACAGCCAUAUGAUCUUCACUAAGGUGAAUGCAUAAAUUGGCUAGCAACGCUUACAAUAUAGGCAAUAUCAGGGCAUGUCAGUGAUAAAUAGAUCAAUCUCUCAACUAACCUUUGGUAUCUUUCUUUGUUAGUUGGGAUCUGAUCCACAUAAACCCCAAGUUUACGAUUCUCAACAACUGGUUUACAGUCAAGCAUUCCAGUAUUUGCUAGCAGGUCCAUGACAUACUUCCUUUAUGAAAGAAAUAAGCCAUGUUUAGAUCAAGUGAGUUCCACUCCUAGAAAAUAUUUCAGACUGCUCAAAUCUUUCAUCUCAUAUUUUUCUUUUAUGUUGUUAGAUUCCCUCUUUAUUAUUCCAUGUCUAUUUUCUUGUACAUACUUCUUGUUGGCAAUUAAUAUUCAGAAGUUACAAGAGUUGGGGGUUAACUAGAGAAAUUAAUUUGUUGGGUUAGUUAUCCAAAUUGUCCUCAAAUUUAUACCCGAGUUUCAUUUUGGUCUCUCAACUAAAUUAUUCAUUUAAAUGAUCCACCGACUCUUUAUUAAUCGGUGCAUUGGUCCUACAAUUACAUUUUCUGUUAAAUUAGUCUUAUAAGCAACACAUGCUACAUUUGUAAGGGUAAAUAAAACUUUUGAAAACUAAAAAAAUAAAAUUAUAUGAUUAAAAAUUAAUACAAUAUUUUCUUUAUUUUUAAAAAUAAUUUAAAACUAUAAACGAAUAAAAAACAACAAAAAGUAAUGUAAGAUCCCACAUCAACCAACGGAGAGGGGGUGAUGUGCCUUAUAUGUGCGCACCCGCAUCCAUCUAGCACGAGGCCUUUUGGGAGCUCACUGGCUUCGGAGUCGUAGGAACUCCGAAGUUAAGCGAGUUGGGGGCUAGAGCAAUCCCAGGAUGGGUGACCCACUGGGAAGUUGCUCGUGACCUCCCAGAAACAAAACCGUGAGGGCAGAGAGGGGGGCCCAAAGCGGACAAUAUCGUGCUACGGCAGAGCCGAUCCCGGGAUGUGACAAGUAACCCUAAAAAAAAAUCAGCCCACCCAACCCCCAUCUCAUCGUGGGUCUGCAACAGCCUCUCUCUCUCUCACUCUCUUCUCAAACAAACCCAGAGCCUUGCAGCCCCAAUAUUAAACAUUUGAAGGGAGAAAUAGAGGGAGAUAUAGGGAAGAGGUGGAGGGGACAAGGAGGGAGGAGAAGAUGGGGCGCUAGGGUGCUGGGGCAAUGGUUAUCGGGCUAGAGGUUGGGAGGUGGGAGAGGGCGAUAGUUUUUUUUUUACUUUUGGUUUUUUUUACUUUUGGUUUUUAGUUUUUAAUUUAUUUACUAUUUUAUUUUACUGGAUUAUUUGACGGCAAUAUUGACAAAAUGUAAUAGUAGGACCAAUGCAUCGAUUAAUAAAGUGUUGGUGGACAAUUUGAACAAAUAAUUUAGUUGAGGGACCAAAAUGCAAUUCGGGUAUAAAUCUAAGGACCAUUUGAGUAAAUAACAUAUUCUAAGUUCAAUCUAACGAACUAAUUCUUAAUUUCUUCAUACUUGAACUUAGGAGUAGCUAGUUGAGCUCAGAUAUGCAUGAAAAUGAAAGCACCUUGAAAGGUCGUUGUUUGCAAUUGGACCUACAGUUCCAUUUCACUAGAAUUUUGCCUUUUGUUGUAUCCUUUCCCUGAACUCCAGACUCUCUGCGUAUCAUUCCCAAUGAGAACUACCCCGACUUGACCCAAUUUGGCUUCGUGUAUUUUAAAAUUUCAAGCUAACUGCAGCUUCUAAUGGAAGCCCUUCUUUUACCUGUUAAUUCUUAGCAAAUAACUAACGUCCAGAAGUCGAGUCAUUUAUAGCAGGGGAUAGAUCAUAGCUUUGGUGUUGGCCCUUUAAGCAAACAGUAUUCUGAAGGGUAUUGAUGGGGAUUGGGGUCAGGACACAGGUCACCAACCACAUACACGAGUACCAAAAUCUAGGGUUAGUGCAAACUCACAUAUAUCGUAGCAAAUUCAUGUCACAAAUAAACUAUUUUAUUAAUCAUCAACAUAUGCUCCCUAACAACUAUUACAUUAGCCUUAUUUAUAGGCUUUACAAGACUUGGGCACCAAGGCUACUUGGUCCAAAAGUAAACUAAUUAAUUAUAAAAUCACACAUAAAUAAUAAAAGAUACCAUAAAACUACCUAAAUAAGAAAAUGACAAUAUAUCAUGAAAUAACUAAUUAAAUGGUAAAUAUCUAUCUUGAUCCACCCCUAUGCUCCUGCAUCAGACUCCCAUGGUUGGAAAGAAUUCGUCCUCGAAUUCAAGCCUUUGAUUGAGGAAAAUCCAAAUAGAAUCUUCAAUUGCUUCAUAUUAAUUCUGGAUGUUUUAGCAUCCAAUUGAAACCUUCCUUUCCAAAUAAAAAGUUAUUUGGAAUAUUUCGUUAUUCUUGGCUUCUUACUCCCUCUAGCAAUGCAAAUGUUUCUCUCUAGAAUCUUCAACCAAUUGACAAAAUCAACCAGAUUUUUGGCAACCUUCCAAGUGAAAAUAUUAAUGCUCAUAAAAUCAAUAAUAUCUUCUAAAGUUUUUCCAAUUCUCAUCUAUUCACUGUUCUUGCCAAUAAAUUGCUUAUCAAAAUUUCUUUGAACACCCAGACAAUUUUCAUUGCAAUUUUCACAGUUGCACGGAUCAAAUAUUGGAGGUAAAUUCAAAUUUAAUGAUUUUGAUGAAUAACAAGAUGCACCAAAAUUACCAAAUUUAUUUAUACCUUCAAAGACACAAUGAGAAUAACCGUGCUCCUCUUCACUUGACUCACACAGCGGAGUGCAAUAAUGAAGAGGGAUAUCUCCCUUGUACUCCCCGUCUAGACUCCUACGGCUUAGAGUGUCGAUGCAAGCUACUCGGUUCAGAUAAGGGUUCACACAUCCCUCCCCGUCAGAACUCUUACCUAUAUGGGUUCGAGAUUCAAUGCGAGCUAUGCGUUCUGUAAGUUGCCUUAGCAUCCUCCUAAUUUCCUCCAUGUUGUUGUCGUUGUAGUUGUUAACAAGACCCUCCAUCCAAAAACCUCCCCGAUAAAGCAGAUCUUGAGCCAUAGCUAUGAUACCAAUUGAUGGGGAUCGGGGUCUGGACAUAGGUCACAACCACAUACACGAGCACCGAAAUCUAAAGCUAGUGCAAACUCACAUAUAUCGUAGCAAAUCCAUGCGACAAAUAAACUAUUUUAGUAAUCAUCAACAUAUAUUCCCUAACAACUAUUACAUUAGCUUUAUUUAUAGGCUUUACAAGACUUGGGCACCAAGGCUACUUGGUCCAAAAGUAAACUAAUUAAUUAUAAAAUCACACAUAAAUAAUAAAAAAUAUCCUAAAACUACCUAAAUAAGAAAAUAAAAAUAUAUCAUGAAAUAACUAAUUAAAUGGUAAAUAUCUAUCUUGAUCCACCCCUAUGCUUCUGCAUCAGAUAUAAUGCACAGCAGCACAGAUACACAAAAUUGCAAGACCCCAUUAUCCAUCAAAUCUUUCCAAUUAACUAAUUUUGGUUCUCCUUUGAGUCUACAUGUCUCUGUCUUCCAAAAAAUUAAUGAAAGUAUAUGUAUUCAAAACAUGAGAAGGAAAAAAUAAAAAAUAAAAAAAAUAAAAAGGGCACUUCUCUGUUGGUUCAUUUUCUUCUUCUUUUUAUGCGUGAUGCGGUAAAUUCAAUGUCUUACUUAUUUUACAAAGAGAUUUGAUAAAUAAAUAUAAAAAAUAAAGAAAUAAAGAAAAUUAAGCCAAAAAUAAUAAAAGGAAAAAGAAAUCAGCACCAAUGACAUUUCACAUAUGUUCAAUCAAAUUGUGCACAUUUUGCAUUAGUAGAUUUCAAUAUAAAAAAAAUAAAAAAAAAUAAAAAAAUAAAAAGAGGCGAGAAUGGGUUGGCAGCUACCACGAUUUCAUUGGAUUGGGAUGAUGGGGAUGGCUAACGCUGAAUCGCGUGGGAGGGAAGUUUUUCUCCCGCUUGUGGAGAGAGACAAAAGUGUCAAAACCAUGUGGGGUCCCCACAUUACAACAGCAUUUGCUGAUUGUCUCAUUGGAAAAGUCUAAGUCAACAAAUGAGUUUUUAUUAUUAUUAUUUAUUUUAUAGUAAGAGCUUUCAAAACUUAUGUAUUGAUGGACACAUAUAUAUUGAAUAUUUGUAUGUUGCAUUAUUAGAUGGAAAUUGUGUCAUCACAAAUGACCUUCCGUUGUUUGUUUCUGUUAUUCUUGGAAUUGGUUAGACUCUUGUUAAACAAUAAUUUGAUUUUAAUAUAAAAAAUGAGAGAAGGAAAAUAUGUAUCAAUGCUUGCUUAGCAUAAUCCCAACAAAAAACCCGCAUCAAAUAAUACAUUGUUGGACGGUAGCUUUAUGUCGAGUCUGUGGACCUCAUCCUCAUGUCAAGUCUCCCAAGUCAAAUCAAAUUGAGAAUUACCAAAUCUUAACACCCUUCAAAACUUGUUCCAAAACUGAACAAGAAUUUCCAAAACCCACAUACUUAGUCCAAAUCCUUUGCAAAGAAUCGAAACAUGGCUGGAGCUUUGGUUGGAGAGGCUUUUCUGUAUGCUUCCGUGCAGGUGCUGUGCAACAAGAUUGGUUCUCAUGAGUUCAGGGACUUGUUCCGGGAAAAGAAACUGGACGAGUCGCUUGUAAAGAAACUGAAGAUAACACUAUUGAGCCUCAAUGCAGUGCUUAAUGACGCGGAGGAGAAGCAGUUCACGAACACUUACGUCAAAGAGUGGCUUGAUGAGCUUCAAGAUGCUGUCUUUGAUGCGGAUGACCUUCUGGAUGAGGUCAAUGCUGAAGUUCUGCGAUGCAAGGUGGAAGCUGAAUAUCGAACUGUCAAAACUCAGGUGUGGAACUUCCUCUCUACUUCUCUUAAUCCUUUUUAUCAAGGCAUGAAUGGUAGGAUUCAAGAGUUGUUUGAUAGAUUAGAACACCUCGCAAAACAAAAGGAUUUCCUUGGGCUGAGAGAAGGUGUUGUUGGGGGGAAGGUUUCUCAAAGAACUCCAACAACUUCCUUGGUGGAUGAAUCUUGUGUGUAUGGUAGGGAUGGAGAUAAAGAAAAGCUGAUGAAACUGUUGUUAUCUGAUGAUGCAAGCGACAAGGAUGUCUCCGUCAUCACCAUAGUGGGAAUGGGCGGGGUUGGCAAGACAACCCUCGCUCAGCUCCUUUAUAAUGAUGAAAAAGUGAAAGAGCAUUUUAAUCUUAGAACCUGGGCUUAUGUUUCGGAAGCUUUUGAUGUUACUAGGGUAACUAAGUCCCUACUUGAGUCAGUCAGUUCAAAAGCUUACGAUAAUAAAGACCUGAGUUUUCUUCAAGUUGAGCUAGGACAACAAAUAAAGGGCAAGAAAUUUCUGUUUGUGUUGGAUGACCUUUGGAAUGAGAACUAUGGUGAUUUGAGUCUCUUGCAACGUCCUUUUGCAUCCGGGGCAAAGGGAAGUUGGGUCAUCGUGACAACACGUAACGAAAGUGUUGCAUCUCUCGUGCGCACCAUUCCGAUUCACUUUUUGAAACCCUUGUCUGAUGAGGAUUGCUGGUUGUUACUUUCAAAACACGCCUUCGAAAAUGGAAACUCAAGUGCACAUCUAGAUCUGGAAGAAGUUGGUAAGAAAAUUGCUUCUGAGUGCAAUGGUUUACCUUUAGCAGCAGAAACCCUUGGAGGCCUCUUGCGUUUCAACACAAAUUAUGAGCAAUGGAAUAGCAUACUAAAUAGCAAUAUUUGGGAGCUGCCUCCUGAAAAAUGUAAUACAAUUCCAGCUCUAAGAUUGAGUUACCAUUAUCUCCCAACUGAUUUAAAACGAUGUUUUGCUUAUUGCUCAAUUUUUCCGAAGGGCUUUGAAUUCCGAAAGGAAGAUAUUGUUCUACUGUGGGUGGCAGAAAGUUUAAUUCCACAAGCUGAGAGUGAGAAAAGUAUGGAAGAGCUCACUAAGAAAUACUUUGAUGACUUAUUGUCACGAUCAUUUUUUCAAAGAUCAACAAAUGAGAAGUUCACAAUGCAUGAUCUCAUCAAUGACUUGGCCAUGUCUGUGUCAAAGGAAUCCUGUUUGAGAUGGAAAGGGGGCGAAUCACAUGAAGUUUUGAAAAAAGUUCGGCAUUUGUCAUAUGCUAUAGGCCAAUUUGAUUGUGCUGCGAAAUUUGAGCCAUUAUAUGAGGUUAAGCAUUUGCGAACCUUCCUACCUCUAAGAAGCAAAGAAUGGUGGUUUGAGCAUCAUGUAAUAAGUAAAAGGGUUUUACCUGAGUUAUUGCCAAAUUUAACAUGUUUACGGGUGCUAACAUUGUCAGAAUAUGAUAAUAUUGUUGAGUUACCCAAUUCUAUUGGUAACCUCGUUCAUUUGCGCUACUUGGAUCUCUCUAAUACCGGAAUCAAAAGGUUACCUUCUAUAGUUUGCACUCUUUAUAGUCUACAAACAUUACUAUUGGCAAGUUGUCGGUCUCUUUUUGAAUUGCCUGCAGACAUGAGAAAAUUGAUUAACUUGAGGCAUCUUGAUUGUAGUGGAACUCAAAUUGAAGAGAUGCCGGUGCAAAUGGGUAGACUAAAAAGUUUGAGAACAUUGACUACUUUUGUUGUGGGGAAAUCUACUGGGUUGACUAUUGGCGAAUUGGGGGAGUUCUCCCAUCUUGGAGGAAAGCUUUCAAUUUUGAAGCUAAAUAAUGUGGUUGAUGGUAGGGAUGCCUUGCAAGCUAAUUUGAAGAACAAACAAGAUCUCAAGGAGUUAGAGUUGGCAUGGGGCUCCAAAGAUGCCGAUCAUUCCGAAAAGGUGAGAGAUGUGCUUGACAACCUCCAACCUUGCAUGAAUUUGGAGAAAUUGGCCAUCAAACUCUAUAGCGGGACCAGCUUCCCAAACUGGUUGGGAGACUCUGCCUUCAAUAAAAUAAAAGUUAUGCGCCUCGAAGGCUGUCAUUAUUGCUUCAAGUUGCCACCGCUUGGACAGCUACCUGCUCUUAAGGAUCUCUUCAUAUGUAAGAUGAAAUUUCUUGGGACGUUAGGUCAUGAGUUGUAUGGUCAGCCAUUUCAGUCAUUUCAAUCACUGGAGAAGCUGGAGUUUGAGGAGAUGGCAGAGUGGGAGGAGUGGGUACCAAGUGGAAGUGGAGGUCCAGACUUUCCUCGUCUCCAGGAGCUGAUUCUAAAAAAGUGUCCAAAGCUAAGAAGAAGCUUGCCUUGUGAUCUGCCUUGCUUGAAGAAGCUUGUCGUGAAAGGGUGUGGGGUUUUACAUGAUCAAAGGGUCACUGCUACUACUAGUACUAGUACUAGUCUCAACUACAAUUGUCUUGAAGAAUUGGAAAUAGAAGAUGGAUGCCAAACAGGUCUGUUAUCAUUACUAGAGACAAAGCUCCUGUCCCGACUUUAUGUUAGACGUUUUAAUGACAUACAGUGCUUGCCCAACAUCAAUCGUCUUCAAAGGUUGGCUCUCUCGACGUGUCCAACCCUGUCGUCGUUCCCUGAAGAUGGCCUACCCACUUCGUUGACUUCACUUAACAUAUACAGUUGUAGGAGAUUAGAAUUCCUACCUCAUGAGAUGUUGGCCCAAUUAACAUCGCUUGUCUCUUUGACGCUCUUGAAUAGCUGUGAUUCAAUGAGGUCCUUCCCCUUGGGCAUUUUUCCCAAAUUGACGACACUUUAUUUUUGGAAUUGUGAGAAUCUGGAGUCGUUUUGCUUGAUUGAAGAAGAAGGAGCGGUUGAGAAUCUCAGCCAUCUCAAUUACUUAAAUAUCGCGGGCUGUCCAAAUCUGGUGUGUUUUCCCCAUGGAGGAUUGCCCACUCCCAACCUGACUUAUUUGGAAUUCAGCAGAUGCGAGAAGUUGAAGUCAUUACCUGAACGCAUUCACACCCUCACAGCCCUAAGAUAUUUGUAUAUAAGGGAUCUUCCAAGUCUGGAGUCAAUUGCAGAUGGGGGUUUGCCUCCCAACCUCCGAUAUUUUAUAAUUGAGAAUUGUGAGAGACUGAGGGCUUCAUCUUCAUCAGUGGGAGACUACUGUAACUGGGGUUUGCAAGCACUUGUCUCCCUUAAACAAUUUAAAAUUUGUGGCAGGGGAAGUGAUGAAAUCUUGG
rnacentral:lncRNA from 1 species